UAAGUCUCUCCCACCAAUUUCAUCUUAAAUCUUGAUUGACGAAUAAAAAAUUGGAAAGUGAUUCGUGCCUCGACAAAGUGCGGCGCGAUUGCCUCGACACGUGUAAUUCACUCUCUAUUAUCAUUCCUCACUUGCACUUUACUUACUGACCCAAACCCAUUCCCAAAAACUCUCAGCCUCUCUCUCACAUCCUCUAGGUCUCCUCUCUACUGAAACAGCAAAAGUGAUUCAGUUCAGCAAGCAAACCAAAGUGAUUCAGUCCGGCAGUGGAGGGCUUCUGGCCACAUUGCUUUGUUUACCCAACCCAAGCCCUAGAUCCUCAAAUCUCCUUCAUUGACAACCAACAAAAGGAGUAACAUGUCAAUGGCUUACACCUCCACUAGUUCAACCAACGAUGGUCGCCUUUUCGAAAAUCGAGAUUGCAAAUGUGGAAAAAAAAUAGCCAUUAAGAUUGGAGAAGAAUGAUUCUGAAAGAAACAAUGAAGCUUUGCAGAAAUUUGAGCGAAGAUUGGAGCGGCUUGAGGCAAACGCAGAAGCUAUGAAAUUGCUUUCAAUGGCAACCGUAGUGUGUACUAGUUUUAGCUUCCUAAUGGUGUUAAUAUGUUUAAUGUUAAAAUGUAUGUUGUAAACUUAGAUGUUAUUGUGCUGGUUUAGCUUUAAAAUGAAUGAAUGUUUUAGCUUUUCCUUCUUGUUGAAUA